GCAGGUGUGGCGGAAUGGCAGACGCAUCAGACUCAAAAUCUGACGAGGGCAACCUUGUGUGGGUUCAAGUCCCACCACCUGCA
rnacentral:tRNA from 1 species